UGUUUCGUGGUCUAGUUGGUAUUAGAUCUGGCUCCAAUAUUCAGUGGACCGGUUGGUCACAAGUUCGAUUCAGGUCGAAGGGA